GAGAGAGCAAGCACUAACCUGGAAGGUUGCUAGCCAUCCAGGCCCGCAGUUGAAAUCUGCGGCUCACUCA
rnacentral:tRNA from 1 species